AGCCCACAAGGCCUUUACUGACGCUAAAGCUCGAAGGUGCGGGUAUCGAACAGGAUUAGAUACCCUGGUAGUCCGCACGGUAAACGAUGGAUGCCCGCUGUUUGCGAUAUAUUGUGAGCGGCCAAGAGAAAUCGUUAAGCAUCCCACCUGGGGAGUACGCCGGCAACGGUGAAACUCAAAGGAAUUGACGGGGGCCCGCACAAGCGGAGGAACAUGUGGUUUAAUUCGAUGAUACGCGAGGAACCUUACCCGGGCUUGAACUGCAGCGGAAGGAAACAGAGAUGUUGACGUCCUUCGGGACCGCUGUGGAGGUGCUGCAUGGUUGUCGUCAGCUCGUGCCGUGAGGUGUCGGCUUAAGUGCCAUAACGAGCGCAACCCCUUUCAUUAGUUGCCAUCACUUCGGGUGGGCACUCUGGUGAUACUGCCACCGUAAGGUGUGAGGAAGGUGGGGAUGACGUCAAAUCAGCACGGCCCUUACGUCCGGGGCUACACACGUGUUACAAUGGGUGAUACAGAGGGCCGGUGCAUGGCAAUGUGCAUCAAAUCUUAAAAGUCAUCCUCAGUUCGGAUUGGGGUCUGCAACCCGACCCCAUGAAGCUGG
rnacentral:rRNA from 1 species